AAAGAUUAUAAAAAUUAUUUCUUGCUUUCUAUAAGAAUAAUUUUAUUUGCUAUGCAGGUCCUCUGCAUUUCAUAAAGAUUGAUUUUAAUUUAAAUUUAAUAGCUCAAGUACUGAAACUUUAUGAUUUUUGUUUUACAGGCAGCUUGGACUUCUUCCAGUCCUAUCUGAAACAAAACUAAGGCCACAUCGAGAUGGCUGGUUUAGCAGCAGAAGUCACCACAGAGGGUCAUGUGUGGACUACUAAUGCAACAAAAGUGAAAUUUAUUUGGGAUUAAAAGUUAACAGACCGUUGUGCAACCCGGUGAUAAUCUUGUAUUAAAGGAAGUUCUUAUGUAGCAAGCACAAGUUAUGAAGUUGGUAAAGGCUAUUAUUAUUAAUUACAUCAGAUGACUUUUGUUGCUGCAAGAGUGUCGACCAUGUUCAUCUACUGAAGCUGCAAUGACAUCCACUAUCUCAUAGAAUGUUCUAUGAGCAGUACUUUGAGAAAAAUUAUAUCUGUCAUCA
rnacentral:lncRNA from 1 species